rnacentral:lncRNA from 1 species
GCAACGGCACAACACACUUGAGAAACAGCUUGAAGCGUGCAGUUUAUCCUGAACUGACUUGUUUCGGAACUGUUGUGUGUUCUGAGCAUCUCAUAGGCGUUUUUCAACGAUAGUUUCCCGAUUGUUGCACUGCUCUAGUCUUGGGCGAAAUCUCAGUUCGAUUUCAAAAUGCCAAGGUCGUUUCUCCUCCGCCGAAGUUUAAAUGUUCCAGAAAAUGCUAGAAGCAAUGCGAAGAUACAAAGUAAAGGUAUGUACUACUAUACUUGCAUUUUCAUCUGUGCCUCAAAGAAACGUUGUAAACUGUUAUAAACGUCCAUAGUUUAUCGCAACUCAAUGGAUUAGCUUGCAUAUUAUAGAGUAUAGUAGCACAUCUCCCCUUUCUUACCAAAGCCGAGCUUUUUUUAUCUCAGAUUAACUGAGUCGCUAGUGCAAGAAUCGUUUCCGUCCUUCGCUUCUGUUCCUUGACAUUUACACCGUUAGUUUCUUGAAAUUUUAGAUCUGCGUUUACACAACCUAUGCAUCGAUCCACAUGCAAUUUUAAUACUCAAAUAUUUGACUAAAUAAAAUACUACGAAUUAACUACUAAUAAUAUAUCAUGGGUAUAAACAACUGUAUAUAUGUGUAUAAUUGCAUAUAAAUGGUUUGCUUAUUUCGCCAGUUUCAUGUCUAUAUUAUUUAUAUUCUUUCACCACUCAUUCAAUGUGGAUAAAUUUUGAAUGCAAAGGUUAGCGGUUCUUUUGUUUUCAUUAUCAAUUCCAAUAGCAUACUGGCUUGUUGUACUAAUAGAGUAAACUAUACGUUUUUGCGUUGCGUACGUGUUCUAUGAGCAGUUUAAUUUCGUCAGGUUUAUACAACGAUUGUUCGAAUACAAUUUUUCCAGGCAUCUCGGAAAUCGAAUUCCAUAAAGUAUUUUUAUCAUUUCUAAGAUUGAUAGCGCUUAUAAUUGAUGAAGAAGAAUUAACAAGCUUUCACUUUUGAGAAUUUUAUGCGCUAUUUGUUCUCGAAAUGGACUGGAAUUUUAAUUAAUCCAUUCGAUAUAUUGAAUGUUUAAUUUUAAGCUGAGGCUGAAAAAUAUUUCACUCCCUCCUUUACUCUGGAGGAACGGAAGUUCUGGCCAUUGGAGUUAUGCUAUAUCAUAAAUUAAUCCAUUCGAUAUCUAAGAAUAUUGAUUCUAUCAGGACAAAUUGAAUGUUUAAUUUUAAGCUGAGGCUGAAAAAUAUUUCACUCCCUUCUUUACUCUGGAGGAACGGAAAUUCUGGCCAUUGGAGUUAUGCUAUAUCAGUGUCGUCGGAGGCAAAUCGUUAUUGGGGGUGGGGGCUCAACCAAGGGGGGUCUGGGGGCAUUCUCCCUCAGAAAAAUGUUGUGUUUCUUAAGCCUCGGAAGAGCAUUUUCCGUGUUUCGUGAGAGGACUAAUUUUUAUCAAAGUUGUGAAUUUCUAGCAUUUAAAAAUCCAAGAUUUUGUGAUGCAUUUCAUAACGUUCUAUUUCUGACUUAAAUAACAGUUUCUCUUGAAAAAUUGGUUACUAGCCCAGUAAUGCAUAAAAUAUAACCUGAAUAAUGCAAAAUUGUGGUAAGAAAUUAAUAUUACAAAUAACGAAAACUAAGACGUAAGAAUAGAGAGUGGCACUGACAUCCAAUUAGUUCACAAUCAGUUUCAUCUCUGAUUAAAAUCAAGUCUGCCAAUGCAUGUCGGGGCAGACUUAACAGCGAGUGGCACUGUUAAUUAUAUUCCUUAGCUUUGUUAGAAUUAUUUGCAUGAGAAAAUUAAAUCAUUUUGUUUAAAAUUAAGUCAUUUUGUUGUUUAGGACAAAAGAAAGGCUUGUCCUUACCUGAAGAAGCAAAGGUGGAACAAGGAUUUUAUGGAGGGGAGAAUGUUUUCUGGCCAAAUGAACAAAACAAAAUGGAGACGAAGGAUUCCUACAUGUACCAAAGUUACAUCGAUGGUGACAUGAUUGAGAAGAAUAACAAUUUCACAAAAUCCGAAUUCUUCGCAUCUUCACCGCAGAAGAUUGGAGUGGUUGGAUCACAGCUUGAAAUCUUGAACAAAGAAGCGGCCAAAUCUGAACUAAACACACCCGAGUCUAGAGAGAUCCCCGCCCCUGCACCUGGCAUGAAACCGAUCUACAGAUGCGAGCAAUGUGGCAAGACUUUUAAAACAAAAUACACGUUGACCAUUCAUCUCAAAAUGCCCAGCCAUACUGGAGCUCGUCCGUUUGUCUGUAAUAUCUGUGGCAAAGGGUUUCGCCUCUCGAGCACUCUCUGUCGACAUAAGAUCAUUCACACCAGCGACAAACCGCAUAAAUGUCACGUGUGCCAAAAGGCGUUCAACCGUAGCUCGACGUUGAAGACGCACAUUCGUACUCACAGCGAAAAGAAGGAAUUCGUGUGCGAUAUCUGUGGCAAAGGUUUCCAUCAGAAAGGCAAUCUUCGAAAUCACUUGUUGAUUCACACUGGCGAAAAACCGUAUAACUGUCGUUUGUGUAAUAAAGCUUUUAAUAAGUUGUCCAAUUUGAAAUUCCACCUUCAUAUUCACACUGAUAACACUCCGUAUCGUUGCCGUUACUGUAAAACGGCGUUCUCGCGAAGAUGCGAUCUCAAACAGCACAUUCAAACGGAACAUGAUGAUCAGAACAGCGAAUACCUCGAUUCCGAUGAAAUUUAAAGAGUUUUACUACAAAUAAUUACAAAAUGAACUGUGAAUUGACUAAACGUAUACUAACAUUAAUAUAAAUAGUGAAUUAACUUGUUCAUUUUAACAUUAUGCACAUGCAUACAUGACUGUUCAAAAUGACUAUAUUCAUAUAUUUCCUUAUUCAAUUCCGAAAGUGAAAAAAGGGGAAAAGCUAAGUUUAUAUAAAGAAAAUAACGAGAUCAUUAAAUAUGAUUUAAAUUAAACUGCUGUAAAGUUCUCAGUGAAAUAACUAUGCAACUAAUUACAUAAUCAAAUAAUAACUUGAG